UGGGGAAUAUUGGGCAAUGGGCGCAAGCCUGACCCAGCAACGCCGCGUGAAGGAAGAAGGCUUUCGGGUUGUAAACUUCUUUUAUCAGGGACGAAACAAAUGACGGUACCUGAUGAAUAAGCCACGGCUAACUACGUGCCAGCAGCCGCGGUAAUACGUAGGUGGCAAGCGUUAUCCGGAUUUACUGGGUGUAAAGGGCGUGUAGGCGGGCUUGCAAGUCAGAUGUGAAAUUCCACGGCUCAACCGUGGAACUGCAUUUGAAACUGUAGGUCUUGAGUGCUGGAGAGGCAAUCGGAAUUCCGUGUGUAGCGGUGAAAUGCGUAGAUAUACGGAGGAACACCAGUGGCGAAGGCGGAUUGCUGGACAGUAACUGACGCUGAGGCGCGAAAGCGUGGGGAGCAAACAGGAUUAGAUACCC
rnacentral:rRNA from 1 species